UUUGAGAGAUUACCUAAGUUGAAUCCUAGUUACGCUGGAAUUUGGUCUUUCUCAUAUGGUGAAGCAAACCGAAUGAACGCUGGCAAUAUUGUCCGUAUCAACUCCGUUCUUGCCGUUCUCCUCGUCCCUGGCCUUGACACCGCCUACAUCGGGGACAGCAUCGGCCUGUAAUCUAGCUUCUAAGUCACCAUCGUUGUUGCCAGCGUUUUCGGCAUGGCUUGUCCAUGGUAGUCUGAUUGGCUCUACAAGCUGGCUCCCGGAGAGGUACACGCAGGCCGUGGCAGCCGGCGCUGCUGUUUCUGGCAAAGCAAGCUCUGGUGGUAAAGACUGACGAAGAAGAGAGAGUGGAAUAUAGCUUGUGAAAAAAGAAGAAACAAGAAGAAGAACAAAGCGCUCAAAUGGAUUCACUCUACAACAUUCAUGUAAAGCUCCUAGCAUUCGAUCUCCUCUCCCUCACCCCACAUCCCUCUCCAUCUUCAUCUACGUCUUCGUCUUCAGACCCAACUUCCUUCUCUCGCAAGGGUCGUGCCAUAUCCCGAGUGGAGGCUGUUGGCACUGUUGCCAGCCGAGAGCUAAAACCUGAUAAAUUCCUCAAAUUCACCAUCGACGAUGGCACCGGCUGCAUCCCCUGCGUUCUCUGGCUCAACCAGCUUAAGUCUCCAUAUUUCUCACGGCGCAACCCACCAGAUGUUCGACUAAUUGCCGAAAUCGCAGCCCAUUUUUCCGCGCAGAUACACCUUGGUGGUGUUGUGAGGGUCCGUGGCAGGAUCACUGCCUUUCGAGGUGCAUUGCAGAUUACUGUUUCAGAUGUUGUUGUUGAAAAAGACCCGAAUAUAGAAAUCUUGCAUUGGUUGGAUUGUAUCAAAUUGGCACAUAAGUGUUAUGACGUUAGGCCCACUGGUAAAGGACAAAGAUUGUGAUAGUUUUCAAUACCAUAUGCAUGUUGCACUUGAUGGACUCGGGAACUGGAUGUGCUAUUGAGAAUUCUGGUCUGUUGGUUGGCUCUUGGUGAAGGAUGAACAAGCCACUCUGGGUGGAACAGAGUACAUCAAAAUGGCCUGGUGAAAGGGAGUCCUUAUGGGUGGAGGGAAGAUAAAGAUAACGAAACAAAGGAGGACUCGUGAUUUGAUGGGCAACAUGCAGGCAAUGAAGGCUCAGAAAAAUGAAAGGGAAGGGAAGAAGACAGUGACAAGAUCUCUGUCCCCAGGUCAAUGAGAUGAAAUGCGAAAAAAUAAACAAAUAAAUCUCCCUCUCAUUUUCCACCCACGGUGAAAAGCUUCACAUCAAAUUGAACGAGUCAGUUCUCUUCUUUUUCAGCCCUGUGAUACAUUUAUAUUGUGUUGUACAAAAACCAUGUGAUAUUAUUGUUACUCCUUUCCUGCCCACGAACCACCAGUUAUUGACAAG